UGGGGAAUUUUCCGCAAUGGGCGAAAGCCUGACGGAGCAAUACCGCGUGAGGGAUGAAGGCCUGUGGGUUGUAAACCUCUUUUCUCAAGGAAGAAAUUUUGACGGUACUUGAGGAAUAAGCAUCGGCUAACUCUGUGCCAGCAGCCGCGGUAAUACAGAGGAUGCAAGCGUUAUCCGGAAUUAUUGGGCAUAAAGCGUCUGUAGGUUGCGAAUUAAGUCUGUUGUUAAAGACCAGGGCCUAACCCUGGGAAAGCAAUGGAAACUAAUACGCUUGAGUAUGGUAGAGGUAGAGGGAAUUCCUAGUGUAGCGGUGAAAUGCGUAGAUAUUAGGAAGAACACCAAUGGCGAAAGCACUCUGCUGGGCCACAACUGACACUGAGAGACGACAGCUAGGGGAGCA
rnacentral:rRNA from 1 species